rnacentral:rRNA from 1 species
UACGGAGGGGGCUAGCGUUAUUCGGAAUUACUGGGCGUAAAGCGCACGUAGGCGGCUUUGUAAGUCAGAGGUGAAAGCCUGGAGCUCAACUCCAGAACUGCCUUUGAGACUGCAUCGCUUGAAUCCAGGAGAGGUGAGUGGAAUUCCGAGUGUAGAGGUGAAAUUCGUAGAUAUUCGGAAGAACACCAGUGGCGAAGGCGGCUCACUGGACUGGUAUUGACGCUGAGGUGCGAAAGCUAGGGGAGCAAACGGG